GAUGAACGCUGGCGGCGUGCCUAAUACAUGCAAGUCGAGCGAGCGGCGGACGGGGGAGUAAUGUCUGGGAAACUGCCCGAUGGAUGGGGAUAACUACUGGAAAAGGUAGCUAAACCGGCAUACAAUCGGAUUUGCCCAGAUGGGAUUAGCUAGUAGGUGGGGUAACGGCUAACCUAGGCGACGAUCCCUAGCUGGUCUGAGAGGCUGACCAGCCACACUGGAACUGAGACACGGCCCAGACUCCUACGGGAGGCAGCAGUGGGGAAUAUUGGGCAAUGGGCGAAAGCCUGAUGCAGCAAUGCCGCGUGUAUGAAGAAGGUUUUCGGGUCGUAAAGUACUUUUGGUGGGGAGGCGUUACCCGCCGAAUAAGCACCGGCUAACUCCGUGCCAGCAGCCGCGGUAAUUC
rnacentral:rRNA from 1 species